CAGCCGCCGCGGUAAUACGUAGGUGGCAAGCGUUGUCCGGAGUUAUUGGGCGUAAAGGGCUCGCAGGCGGUUUCUUAAGUCUGAUGUGAAAGCCCCCGGCUCAACCGGGGAGGGUCAUUGGAAGCUGGGAAACUUGAGUGCAGGAGAGGAGAGUGGAAUUCCACGUGUAGCGGUGAAAUGCGUAGAGAUGUGGAGGAACACCAGUGGCGAAGGCGACUCUCUGGUCUGUAACUGACGCUGAGGAGCGAAAGCGUGGGGAGCGAACAGGAUUAGAGACCCCCGUAGUCCCUGUCUCUUAUAC
rnacentral:rRNA from 1 species